AGGGGCAGCAUGGUCUUAGCUUGCUAAGGCCGAUGGCGACCGGAGCACGGGUGAGUAACACGUAUCCCACCUGCCGUCUACUCUUGGACAGCCUUCUGAAAGGAAGAUUAAUACACGAUGGCAUCAUGAGUCCGCAUGUUCACAUGAUUAAAGGUAUUCCGGUAGACGAUGGGGAUGCGUUCCAUUAGAUAGUAGGCGGGGUAACGGCCCACCUAGUCUUCGAUGGAUAGGGGUUCUGAGAGGAAGGUCCCCCACAUUGGAACUGAGACACGGUCCAAACUCCUACGGGAGGCAGCAGUGAGGAAUAUUGGUCAAUGGGCGAGAGCCUGAACCAGCCAAGUAGCGUGAAGGAUGACUGCCCUAUGGGUUGUAAACUUCUUUUAUAAAGGAAUAAAGUCGGGUAUGGAUACCCGUUUGCAUGUACUUUAUGAAUAAGGAUCGGCUAACUCCGUGCCAGCAGCCGCGGUAAUACGGAGGAUCCGAGCGUUAUCCGGAUUUAUUGGGUUUAAAGGGAGCGUAGAUGGAUGUUUAAGUCAGUUGUGAAAGUUUGCGGCUCAACCGUAAAAUUGCAGUUGAUACUGGAUAUCUUGAGUGCAGUUGAGGCAGGCGGAAUUCGUGGUGUAGCGGUGAAAUGCUUAGAUAUCACGAAGACUCCGAUUGCGAAGGCAGCCUGCUAAGCUGCAACUGACAUUG
rnacentral:rRNA from 1 species